AGAGUUUGAUCAUGGCUCAGGAUCAACGCUGGCGGCGUGCCUAAUGCAUGCAAGUCGCACGGGCACUCUUCGGGGUGUCAGUGGCGAACGGCUGAGGAACACGUGCGUAUCUGCCGGUUCGUGGGGAAUAACGCGGAGAAAUCCGCGCUAAUACCGCGUACGCUUGCUCUUCGGAGCAAGGAAAGCCUUCGGGCGCGGACUGAGGAGCGCGCGGCCCAUCAGGUUGAUGGCGGGGUAAUGGCCCACCAUGCCGGUGACGGGUCGCUGGUCUGAGAGGAUGACCAGCCAGACUGGGACUGCGACACGGCCCAGACACCUACGGGUGGCAGCAGCAAGGAAUCUUCCGCAAUGGGCGCAAGCCUGACGGAGCAACGCCGCGUGGAGGACGACGGCCUUCGGGUUGUAAACUCCUUUUCUGGGGGAUGAUAUGGACAGUACCCCAGGAAUCAGCCCCGGCUAACUCUGUGCCAGCAGCCGCGGUAAGACAGAGGGGGCAAGCGUUGUCCGGAUUUAUUGGGUUUAAAGGGUGCGUAGGUGGCUCAUUAAGUCCGGGGUGAAAGGCAGUGGCUCAACCACUCGCAGGGCCCCGGAUACUGAUGGGCUCGAGUGUAGGUGAGGCCGGUGGAACGGGUGGUGUAGCGGUGAAAUGCAUAGAUACCAUCCAGAACACCGAUUGCGGAGGCAGCCGGCUAACCUACUACUGACACUGAGGCACGAAAGCGUGGGGAGCAAACAGGAUUAGAUACCCUCGUAGUCC
rnacentral:rRNA from 1 species